UCUGAAUUCUGAUUAAAUUCCAAUAUUUGCUUUCAAUCUUCCUCUGUUUCUUGUCAUACAAGUGUGGAGGUCCUAUUGACAAGACCAAGGCUAUGUUCAGCUUUAAUGAACUCAUAGAAAGUUCUAGAAAAUUAGUCAACUUGCCACAAAGGAACAGACACGUACAAAAUCUAAGGUCAUAAAGGCUUAAAAAAAAUAAGGAAACAAUUGAAUAGAAGGGAGUAACAAAUUUGAAAACUCAGCAGGAGACCCUUACAAAAUUUCAUGGCAAACAAGAAGUAGAAUCUGCAAUUAUAUUUCUGGGAUAAGUAGUGUCAGAUUGUAAUAGGAAGGGGAACCAAUAAAAUUAAACCCUUUAAAACAGGAUCGGCUAGUAGGAAGAAAUUUGAAAAAUCUUUCCAGGGAUACGAGUUAUAAGAAAUCUGAAGUUGAACGAAAUCUAA
rnacentral:misc_RNA from 1 species